CCGCAUACAUUAAGGUACUCUCCCUCCCAUUGACCUUUAGACAGAUCCCCAGAUCAACUGCAGAUAAUGGCGCAGUUUAGGCUUUUAGUCGUCCAUAAGGAUGAGGACUGAAAUGCGUCGGCUUCCAUUAUAGGAUUUACGGUAGAUGUCCUGUGU